rnacentral:rRNA from 1 species
AGCAGCCGCGGUAAUUCCAGCUCCAAUAGCGUAUAUUAAAGUUGUUGCAGUUAAAAAGCUCGUAGUUGAAUUUCGGGGUCAGCAGGUUGGUCGUGCCUCUGGUACGCACUGGUUUCGCUGAUUCCUCCUUUCUGAAGAACUGUAAUGUCAUUAAUUUGGUGUUGCAGGGAAACAGGACUGUUACUUUGAAAAAAUUAGAGUGUUUAAAGCAAGCUAACGCUUGAAUACAUUAGCAUGGAAUAAUGAAAUAGGACGUUUGAUCCUAUUUUGUUGGUUUCUAGGAUUGACAUAAUGAUUAAUAGGGAUAGUUGGGGGCAUUAGUAUUCAAUUGUCAGAGGUGAAAUUCUUGGAUUUAUUGAAGACUAACUACUGCGAAAGCAUUUGCCAAGGGUGUUUUCAUUAAUCAAGAACGAAAGUUAGGGGGAUCGAAGACGAUCAGAUACCGUCGUAGUCUUAACCAUAAACUAUGCCGACUAGGGAUCGGAUGAUGUUAAUUUUUUAAUGACUCA